AGGGGCCUAAUGGUGCUGACAGUGAAGGUGUCCCCCAGAUGUGGAUGUCCCUUAUCUGGGAGCCCUAGGGAUUGUGGGUGCUCCUGACCCCAUAUGCUUAUUGUCAACAUCAGUGUCUGUGUGGUCAGCACCAGUGUCAGGGGCUGGUGGUGAAGUCACAGUGACUCAAUACUUCACCUCUUGCCUGUGUCCAGGACAGAGUCCCUGUUCCUCCUGCAGAUAGUCUGGUCCCUGCUGGCUCAAGGUCCCAGGCAGGUGGCAGGCAGCCUGCCUCACCCCUCCCCCUAGUCUCUGGAUUCUGAUACCCAACAGCAACAGCAGCAGCAAGGAGAAGCCAGGAGGCGGGCAAGAGGCACAGCCUGGAUCAGCAGUGCUAGGUUAAGCCUGUCAUGUGGCAGGAGGUUGUGCCACAUGGAUUCCCCAGUUCUGGUCAUUGCAAGGGUAGGCAAAGUACGGGGACCUCAGGUAGUUGUAUUUCAAUUGUGAGGGCACACAUUGCACUCAUAUUAAUCCAAAAUGGAAAUGUUCAAAGGUCAAUACAAAAUAUAAUUGUAGAGUAGGAAAAGGAGGAUGGAGGAUGGAGGGUGGCAGUGACCUGGGACAUUGUCCAGAGAGUGACAGAGGGAACCGGGACAUCUGAGCCCAUGAUGUAUCUCCUGCACAUCUGCCCUUUCCUCUUGAUCCCAGGAGAGACCACAGGCCCCACUACUAGGGGAUUCUUAUUCCUCAGGGGGUUGGGAACCCUGACCCCGAGACUUGCUAAUCUAGGAGGGUGCCAUUGUGACUGCGCUCCAUGAUGUCAUCAUUGCCAAGCACUGCUCCUUCCAUAUUCUACAGCAGUUAGAGGCCACUCCUGUGUCAAGUGACCGGCUGAGCUGGAGUUUGUUUUCUAGGCAGCAAGCAAGUUCAGGACACGGGGAUGGAUUCAGGUCCAGUGAAGCUUAAGAGUCAUUUGCCCUUAUAUUAAAAUGGAGUUCUGUAAAAAAAAUCCUGCUCAACCAGUGUGCAAAACGCACACAAAACAAAAAAUGUUGCCACUUUAUCUGCAUGAAAAAAGAAAAACACUUCAGCUCUGGAAGUAGCCUGCAUUUGAUAGCUGGAUGGAAGGCAGGCAUUUUAGUGAUCAUGGUGAAAAUGUGGCUGCAACUGACACAAGUUGGUCUAAACUGGGACUCCCAAAUAGAGGCCGAGAUGACCUGAUAAAGAGAAUAAAUAUAGAUAUGCAUACAGUAGUCAGAAUAACUACAGUGGAAAUUACCCUAAAGUUCCAAAGUCUCUAAAUUACAACCUAGAGAAGACUUGCAUCUGGGCUGAGGUACAUCUUGUGAUUCAAGAGCCAAGGGAGCACACCAAAGAAAGAAAGCCUGUUUUGGGACAAGAAUUAGACCAAGAAAUAACAGUGCAUCUCCAAUUAAUAGUGAGUGGCCAGAAUGUGGAGCUGAUGAUCCAUUGUGACAAAACCUCAGAAGAAAAUUUUGAAUUUGUGAAUGGCUUUUAGCAGAAAUGAGGCAGAGAAAGGCUUGCAGAAACCCAGAGAAGAGCAUCUUGGUAGUUUAUCAUGUGACAUGUCUCCCUGGAGGAAAAGCCUGGAGACCCAUUUUAACAGAAAGGCAGGUCUCUGGAGCCCCCUGGUCUGCCAGAACCAUCAGAAUGGCAGUACCACUGAGCCCUUCAUCCGAUCCAGCCAAUAAAAAUAAUAUGAUUGCGUGUAACCAGGCAUUGCAUUGCCGACUAGCAGAGAACCAGCGGGAAAUACAAGAUCUGAAAGAGAUAGUUCAUCAUUUCAGCUUCAUCCUCCACCAAGAGGAAAACAAUUAUGGUGAGGGCCAAGACGUGAUUCAAUCCAGGCUAAGGGAGAAGCCAGCACUUGGAACUCCACAGCUUGAGAAGCUGGCACCUGCUGAGUUCAAGAAAUGCCAUGUAAAUAAGGCACGCACCCGCAAGCGGCGCCGGCUACGUAAGAAGUCAAGAAAACAGACACAGAUUUGUCAUCUCAGCCUACAUCCCAGAGCCCUCCUCACCCAGCAUGACCCUGACAGCCACCACACACGGGGCUUGCUGGAGCCACUGGUUGUUCACGUCAGGCUGGAAAAGCAUCUUGUCUACAAAUGUAGCCUGGCAAAAGAAAUGACGCAAAUGAAGGGUGGUUGCUGGGACUUAAUCUGCCCCAGCAGGAUCAGUGGGUGCUUUCCACCUCAAGUAGAGCCUGAGUUGGUACCAGGGCUGACCAUGGGUGAAUAUUGUUGGUGCAUCAUCAUGAAAGCCAUGCUGGUUAUGCAGCAGCGUUAUCCUGGUGGUGGCUGGACGAUAGUGCUGGAAGAGUACUCGUGGUGCACAAGGUUUGGAGUCUAUGGGAAUUCCCUUGAGGACAGAGUGCCACAUGAAGCCAAACCUGCGUAAGUCUACAGAUGGAUGGAGGGUUCUUUGGUAUGGACAUUUGGAGGUAGAAGGCAUGGGGAGGAGAGAAUGGGCCCCACGGAGUAAUUAC